rnacentral:tRNA from 1 species
GCCCUCGUAACUCAAGCAGGCAGAGUCCGGUCUCUUAAACCGAGAGAUGGGGGUGCGAGUCCUCCCGGGGGCACCA